GUCCACGCCCUAAACGAUUGAUACUAGGCGUCGGAGGUAUCGACCCCUCCGGUGCCGCAGCAAACGCAUUAAGUAUCCCGCCUGGGGAGUACGGCCGCAAGGUUGAAACUCAAAUGAAUUGACGGGGACCCCGCACAAGCGGUGGAGCAUGUGGAUUAAUUCGAUACUAACCGAAGAACCUUACCCACUCUUGACAUUGAAGGCAAGCUCUAGAGAUAGGGCCCUCUCCCACAAGGAGACCUGAAAACAGAUGUUGCAUGGCUGUCGU
rnacentral:rRNA from 1 species